rnacentral:rRNA from 1 species
UACGUAGGGGGCGAGCGUUGUCCGGAGUUACUGGGCGUAAAGCGCUUGUAGGCGGUCCACCAAGUUUGGGGUGACAGUUGCCGACUUAAUCGGCAAAGUGCCUCAAAGACUGGCGGACUUGAGGGCCACAGAGGGACAUGGAACUCCAGGUGUAGUGGUGAAAUGCGUAGAUAUCCGGAGGAACACCAAAGGCGAAGGCAGUGUCCUGGGGAGUACCUGACGCUCAGGUGCGAAAGCCAGGGGAGCGAACGGG